CGAGGAAAAGAAAUCAACCGAGAUUCCCCCAGUAGCGGCGAGCGAACGGGGAGGAGCCCAGAGCCUGAAUCAGCAUGUGUGUUAGUGGAAGCGUCUGGAAAGGCGCGCGAUACAGGGUGACAGCCCCGUACACAAAAGCGCAUGUGCUGUGAGCUCGAUGAGUAGGGCGGGACACGUGGUAUCCUGUCUGAAUAUGGGGGGACCAUCCUCCAAGGCUAAAUACUCCUGACUGACCGAUAGUGAACCAGUACCGUGAGGGAAAGGCGAAAAGA
rnacentral:rRNA from 1 species